GACGAACGCUGGCGGCGCGCCUAACACAUGCAAGUCGACCGGAAUGGCGGGGCUUUUGCGGGGCGCUCGUGGGGCGAACGGGUGCGUAUCACGUGAGUAACCUGCCCGUGACCUGGGGAUAACUUCACGACACCGGGGCUACUACCGGAUAGGAGCUUCUGCUCCACGGUGGGCGAUGGAAAGUCUCGUUGGUUGGGGCUGGACUCGCGGCUUAUCAGCUUGUUGGUGGGGUAGUGGCUUACCAAGGCUUUGGGGGGUAGCCGGCCUGAGAGGGUGGCCGCCUUCCUUGGGCCUGAGAUACGGCCCAGACUCCUACGGGAGGCAACGGUGGGGAACCGUGCGGAGUGGACGGGCGCCUGUUGCGGCGGCGCCCCGUCCCUGAAGGCGGCGUUCGUGUUGUGAACCGGUGUCGCCUGAGCCGGGGCGUGAGUGACGGUAACGGGUCAAGAAGCACCGGCUAACUACGUG
rnacentral:rRNA from 1 species